GACGAGGGAUCCUAGCGUUGUUCGGAAUUACUGGGCGUAAAGCGCACGUAGGCGGACCAGUCAGUUGGGGGUGAAAUCCCGGGGCUCAACCCCGGAACUGCCUCCAAAACUGCUGGUCUGGAGGUCGAGAGAGGCGAGUGGAAUUCCGAGUGUAGAGGUGAAAUUCGUAGAUAUUCGGAGGAACACCAGUGGCGAAGGCGGCUCGCUGGCUCGAUACUGACGCUGAGGUGCGAAAGCGUGGGGAGCAAACAGG
rnacentral:rRNA from 1 species